UUGAAGGUUUAAGCACGGCAUACCAUUACCCAACAAAGACUUCAAACUUACCCACAACCAGAAGUUCAGUAGAUGAGAAUAGAUGUUCCAAAAUGCAUGCAUUCUAGUUUCAAACACAAAAAAAAGGACGGAGAUGCAAAAACCUGUGCAUUUUGACUAAUGGGUAAGCUUAAAGUAAAGAAUCAAUAUGAUUGCAAUCACCAAGACUGCAAUGAUUGAUCCAAUGAUCCAUUUGUUCCGGCUCAUCCUUCUUGACAUGGUAGUCAGUAUCUUCUUGCUCCUACUAAUAUUGUCAUCCACUCCAUGAAGCUGUGAAAAAGUUAAGGAGCUUGUU